UUAGCUCAGUUGGUAGAGCACCUGACUCUUAAUCAGGGUGUCCAGGGUUCGAGUCCCUGA
rnacentral:tRNA from 1 species